AGAUGGUGACCACUUGCCUCAUUUAUGCUCCAUUUGAAAAAAUUCAAAAACGAUUCAUUUGUUUGCAUACCAAGGCAGUACAGAAUCUUCUACAGUGGCACUUCAAUGGUGUCCUGACUCAAUGCCUCAUGCUGGGAAGGAGGGCAGUGUGUAAUGGCAACCCAGGAAGUAAAGCAACAAGCUCAGGCUGUGCAUCUGCUUCACACUUUGAGAAAUAAUGUUUUCAGUGGAUCCUGAACAAUUCUGUGGGAGAAGACAGAAUAGAUGUUCACCCAUGGGCGAGUGAGCCACACGUGAAACUGCUUUCCUGUUGGAAGAGUGCUCCCCUAAACCUGUGACAUCAUCCUGUGUGUGUGUUCCUGCUCUGAGGACUUUAAGGUAAAAUGAUUUAAUUAGGUGAUGGUAUUACCUGGUAUUUGUUUGAGCUGAGUGGAU
rnacentral:lncRNA from 1 species